rnacentral:misc_RNA from 1 species
GAAUCCAGAAUCCGACGGAGUAUACGGCUCUGCCAAGGGUCCCCAUCUUACUCUUUAAUCGGUUUAGUGCUGUGAGGUUUCAGAAUUACCACACUGUAAUGGGAAUGAAGCAGGAGAAAAUAGUAGAAGUUUGAAGAAGUUGAGGGUAAAAUGGGGUUUUUGUGCACACUGAAUUACCAAAGAGUCCCUAAUUGCCUGAUUGGCGUUUUGAGUUUUGGCGGGUAUAAGGGAAACACAUCAUGAUUCACGCUUCGGCAGAGGCAGGGAAAAAAUAAAAAAUCCACUGAUGAUGACAUACCAAUAACCUGCAAAAUUUCUUGUUUUGAGCAAAGAAAUCCAGAAGGCGAAACGAGAUCGCUUGGAUUUUCUUUGAUUUCUUCAUCAUUUAUGUACCUUUAUUGGAUCUGUGCUUUGCUGGGACCUGCCCUGACUGCUGCGUUUCUUAAAGGUUGGUAUUUAUUUUCUAGCUUAGCCUUGUUCAUUUGCUGAUCAUGCUUUUUGAUGCAUUUGAUGUCAUGUUGUUUUUAAUUUUUAUGCUGGGUAGAGUAAAAGUGGGCUUGUUAAUGUUUUGUUUGGUUUCUUAGAAAAUAUUGAAGAAGAAAAUAAAUGAAACGAUGAGAUGCUAGAAAUUUGGAUUAUCCAGUGUAAUUUAUCCAUGAAAUGAAGCCAUUGUUAAACCUUGAGCUCAACAUGAGAUCUUUUUUUUCUUCACAUGAGAUCUUUUUUUCUUGGAGAAGAUAAUGGGCAGUGAAAUAUGGACAAUGUAAAAUCAUUUUUUUUUUGUGUGGCUUCCCUUGGUUUCUUAUAUGAAUUUGGUUCCUUUUUGGAUGUAUUGGAGAAGUAUAAGGUGAUGAUUUAUGGAAGGAGCUGAGGGUGAUGCUGCCUCCACUAUGACACCUCUUGCCAAGUCGAGAAAUGAUUUAUCAAGGGCAUUCCAGUACUAUCUAGAUCGAUCAACACCUCAUCCGAUGCAAAGGUGGUUGGGAACUCUUGCAACUGCAGCAAUUUAUACGUUGCGAGUUUACUAUGUUCAAGUUUUGGAUGGAGCUUCUUUGC